rnacentral:rRNA from 1 species
UUACGGGAGGCAGCAGUAGGGAAUCUUGCGCAAUGGGCGAAAGCCUGACGCAGCCAUGCCGCGUGAAUGAUGAAGGUCUUAGGAUUGUAAAAUUCUUUCACCGGGGACGAUAAUGACGGUACCCGGAGAAGAAGCUCCGGCUAACUUCGUGCCAGCAGCCGCGGUAAUACGAAGGGGGCUAGCGUUGCUCGGAAUUACUGGGCGUAAAGGGCGCGUAGGCGGAUGUUUAAGUUGGGGGUGAAAGCCCGGGGCUCAACCUCGGAAUAGCCUUCAAUACUGGGCAUCUUGAGUACGGGAGAGGUGAGUGGAACUCCGAGUGUAGAGGUGAAAUUCGUAGAUAUUCGGAAGAACACCAGUGGCGAAGGCGACUCACUGGCCCGUUACUGACGCUGAGGCGCGAAGGCGUGGGGAGCAAACAGGAUUAGAUACCCCGGU